rnacentral:lncRNA from 1 species
UUAAACUAUAACUAGCAAGAAAUGAGAAACUGAUUACAUCUGCUUAUUUGGACAGUGAAUGGAACCACAUAUUCUGCCUGUUGGCAAACACCAAAUCUGUAUCAUUUAUUUUCUUCAAAGGGAAUCAUGAUUGCCAACAAUCACUCAGCACCAACAAUUUAUUGAAUGUUUAUCUGCCUGCAUUCUUCUUGUGGCUGGAAAUGUAGCAGUGAACCAGACCGAGACCCUGAUCCUCUGGGUAUAUAGCUGGGGGAGUCAGACAUUCAUGAAAAUGACUUCUAGUGCCACAGAUAUUUCAAAAGAUGCAGUAAAGAGUUCUGUGGGUCUGAAUGACAGGGUGUGCUAACCAAAUAUGGGAAGGUGGCGAAGGUCUCCUAGAAGAAUUGGUGCAAAACUUGAGUCUCAAAGGAUGAGCUGGGUGAGGAGCUGGGCACAGUAUUCUGGGCAGUGGGAACAUCAUGGAUAGAAGCCUGAAUGCAGUGGAGAGACUGACUCACUUGUGGGCAUGAAGGAGAUCAGCAUGACUGGAUUGGAGCUCACUUCCUGGUGUUUUCACCUCAUUGCAUCCCUGGUUGGUUUCUGUUGCUUGCAAUGAAAGAACCCUAACAAAUGCAAUAAUGCAGAAGUAACAAUGAAGAUGACACUGAUUCACACAAGAUUUAAUUUGUUACAUGAGUAAAAAAACAAAGCAAAAUGAACAGAAUUUACUAUACUGCAUCCCUGCUGGGAGUAUGUUGAGUUUUCUGGCCUGGAAGGCCUUUGUGACCUGUUGAAAGAAUAUACAUGGAUUUACUUCAGGAGAAAAAUAAAUAUAAAGUGUUAUUUUAAAAA